AUUUUGUUUUAAAAAAACUUUUGAUUUAUAAGAACCGAUGGCCAUGGUAUGUCAAACGUUGUAAUGAAAUGAUAGCUUUUCUAAUCGCUGCGGCUUUGGCUUUCGUAUCGAUUCGAUACAUCAUUGAUGCACUCAUGCACAAAACAAAUGUGGCAGUGGACUUCACGUAGCUGAUUAUGUGCAAAUAUUGCUCAGAUUCUUUAAAGACAUGUGGUAGUGGACUUCAAUUGAUCUGUUCAUAUAUUUUACUUUGGCCUAUGCGGAGUCCUACAUCGUAUCUUGUGCUUUCGUCCCUUUUUACAUAAAACGGCUUGCUGAGGCGGGCGAUAUCCAUCAGCCGUCAAAAUAACAAUACAAGGGGCAACUCUUUGUUUUGGGAUUUGAUAAAAUAAAACUAUGUUAUGAUUUUUUGAAAUUAAAAAACUAUGUAUCAUCACCUAUCUAAAUAUAU
rnacentral:sRNA from 1 species